AUCCACAACCACAUCACCCUGCAAGACAAAAACAGUUGUUCACUGAAGUUAAGCAGGGCUGAGUCUGUUUUUUUCCUGGAUGAGUGACCAUUUGGGAAAAACUGUUGGAAGUGGUGU
rnacentral:rRNA from 1 species